rnacentral:lncRNA from 1 species
AACCAGAAACUUGCUUGGUUUGGGUCUUUUAAUUUACCCAACUUGAUUGACCACGAAUCGUUGUAAUCCAAUUAAUUAACUGGAUUUGAAGGGAAUGGCUCUGAUUACAACUUGGUGGUAAAGAGCCGCAAGAGCUGCACCAACGAAAGGUCCAACCCAGAAGAUCCACUGUAUAACAAAAAUGCCAAGCCUCAUUAACUUAUUAGGCUUCAGAAAAUUCUUAAAUUUGAUACUUAAGAGAGAGAGAGAGAGAGAUUUUAGUUAACAUACGUGAUCAUCCCAGCCAAGGUCUUUGUUGAAGAUGAUGGCAGCACCGAGACUUCGUGCAGGGUUGAUACCAGUUCCAGUGAUUGGGAUUGUGGCCAAGUGCACCAAGAACACAGCGAACCC